GCUAAUCCUGGUCGGACAUCAGGAGGUUAGUGCAAUGGCAUAAGCCAGCUUGACUGCGAGCGUGACGGCGCGAGCAGGUGCGAAAGCAGGUCAUAGUGAUCCGGUGGUUCUGAAUGGAAGGGCCAUCGCUCAACGGAUAAAAGGUACUCCGGGGAUAACAGGCUGAUACCGCCCAAGAGUUCAUAUCGACGGCGGUGUUUGGCACCUCGAUGUCGGCUCAUCACAUCCUGGGGCUGAAGUAGGUCCCAAGGGUAUGGCUGUUCGCCAUUUAAAGUGGUACGCGAGCUGGGUUUAGAACGUCGUGAGACAGUUCGGUCCCUAUCUGCCGUGGGCGCUGGAGAACUGAGGGGGGCUGCUCCUAGUACGAGAGGACCGGAGUGGACGCAUCACUGGUGUUCGGGUUGUCAUGCCAAUGGCACUGCCCGGUAGCUAAAUGCGGAAGAGAUAAGUGCUGAAAGCAUCUAAGCACGAAACUUGCCCCGAGAUGAGUUCUCCCUGAGACUUAGAGUCUCCUGAAGGAACGUUGAAGACGACGACGUUGAUAGGCCGGGUGUGUAAGCGCAGCGAUGCGUUGAGCUAACCGGUACUAAUGAACCGUGAGGCUUAACCUUACAACGCCGAAG
rnacentral:rRNA from 2 species